rnacentral:piRNA from 1 species
UCUGACGUUUUCUGCUGAGAUUGGGUUCC